UUGCUUUGGCAGCACAUAUACUAAAGUUGGAACGAUUCAGAGAGGAUUGGCAUGGCCCCUGCGCGAGGAUGACAUGCAAAUUCAUGAAGCAUUCUAUAUUGAA
ensembl:snRNA U6 U6 spliceosomal RNA